CAUGAGGCUAUUUGAGCUGCACACCACUGGGAGCAUUUAAUAGGUAGUGGGAGCUUUACCACCCCUGGCUAUAACAACCUUAAGGAAUUGGAGAAGGCAAUAGUGAUGGUGUGGGAGACAAUGGCCUGGUGCUCCUUGGUGGGGUCACAAUCGAGGGGUAAAUAAGAGGAGGUAUCCGCGAGUUGUCGCUGUGCCUCGACAAGGUAGAGGUGUAAUAUAACAUCCUCAUUUAUUGUAGGAUGUACUGGCAAGUGGGACUUGGCUGGUGACCUGGUAGUUAUCAGACUGCAGUAAUAUUUGGGGACAAAACUGGACAAGUCAGAAGAAGCUACAGAAUGAAGUUUGAUGAAAGAGUUGAUUGAAUGCAGUAACUGUUCACCAGAAGCACUGAUGUCAUUGAUGACAAACGCUGUUGAUCCUGAUUCCUCAUCAACUGGUCUGCCUGCCUGCUCGUGUGCAGCUGAUUCUUUUCACAGAAUUUUCUUGGAAAAUUAUUGUUCUUUCAGCUUGUUUUUACAUAUUUUACAAAAAGCAAGACACAGUUCUCUCUGCUGGAACUUUUGUUUCCUUCCGCAGUUACAACACUUGGGUGUCCUUGAGAUUUCCUUAGCCUUAGCUUGCAGCAUUUCUUCUGUCACCUCCAGAGAUUUGUUUUAUGUAAUCUCACACUCUGCCAUGUGACUCACUGACAUAACUAAAUUGAACCUCCAUGCUUUUCCUGCAUAAGACACAUCUCAUUUCUUUUCUUUUAAAAAAAUCAUCACCACUGAUGAGAUUUCCAAAAUUCUAUUCUACAGCAUUCAUGCAUUUCACCAGAAUCAUGUUAAAUUUACAUCUCUUGGAAGAAAUAUUUUCUGAGUUAGCAAUUCUCAGGAAAGUUCCUCAACAUAAGGUUCAUCUUGUAUCGAACUCCUCUUUGUCCCAAUAUAUCUAGAGGAAUAAAAUUCAUGUGCUUCUAUCUCCAUCACAAAGCAUUAUUACCUGAACUUUUUUUUUGUUUUCUGCUCCAGCAUCAUUGCUGUAGCAUAAUUUUGUCAAAAUAACUUAAAUAUCUAUGUUUCCAUAGAUACCUUCAGUAUGGUUAGAUCCUGACGUAUUUCCUCUUAAUAACCUUGUUAUUUUGGGCAGUUGGGGCUCGUCAGCCUUGGACAGCAGCCCGCCUAGGAGAAGGAAAACCCUGAUUUUAAACCGCCGCUGCGUUACGGCCAUACCCACCCAUGGGAAAGGCUUCGGGGGUAAACCCUGAGGAAGAAAUCCGGAGCCGGGGUCCCUCAGGCAGUUUGAUAUUGUUUACAACUUCACUCUGGCAACAUCUGCAACGACACUACGGCCAACCUGUAUAGGCACUUGCCCUUCCCUUGGACUACAUCAGUGACAUGGAGAAGGAGAACCUGCUGCUUGAGCAACAGCCAGUUCUUUUAAUUUACCUGCCCAGGCUUGCGGCCUGGAGAGGAUACAGUCCACCAGAGGCACAAAUCCAUGAUCUCCUGGGAUUGACAGCUGCGUACUACUACUGCUGCUGCUACGUAGCCUUGUUACUUCCUCCAAGAAACCAUAAUGCUGUGGUUUGAAGACUUGUGUGCCUCAACGACCCAGAGAGUUAUUAUGUGUUAGCUGGAAUCAGGGCUUUAUGGUUUGGCUCUUGGUAGGGUCACCAUGCCAAAUAGGUCAAAGGGUAGAGGCCAGACUAAGAUGUAUAAGGUAUAGAAGGUCCACCAGUCCUCCAGGUUCAGCUUGGGGCUAACAACCCUGACUGGUAAAACAAAGUUGUUAUGGAAACUGCAAUGAUGAAUAUCUUUCUACAUCUGAGUCGCCAAGGACAGACAGGGAUGGAGGACCUUCAUUUCUGCCCUAAACUCCAGUAACGUAACAGGCAGUGAGUAAAUAAUCCAGUUAUUUAUUGAUUAAUUGGUGAUGCAAUACAAAGACUGAAAAUUAAAAGCAAAACUAUAGAUGUUGCAAAUUUGACACAAAAUUAAAAAAAUGCUGGGAAAACCCAACUGGCAAGGCAGCAUCUGUGGUAAGUCAAUAUUUUGUCUAUAUCUUUUGUCUAAAUUGAGGAAGAGAGAUAUGCAAAUAAGUCAUGCAAGUGUUCUCCACACUUCCCUUUAAUCUUUUUAUAGGGAUCACCACUUCACAACUUUCUUAUCCGCUCUUUGUCCCCCACUCAAUGACCGCUGUCAUAUGGCUAAUUGCUGUGCAAUACCUGUCCAUUCACUACUUUCCUUUCCACCAUGCAGAGACCCAACCAUAUUUUCCAUAUAAACCAGUGAUUCACUUGUACUCCUUCCAGUCUUGUUUACCGCAUUCCUUGUAGGCAAUGUAGCCUCCUCUUUAUUGGCGAAUACAAACACUUUGUGGAACAACUGCACUUAGUCUGUAGGAAUGACCCUGAGCUUCCAUUUGUGCCCCACUUUUAUUCACCAUCCCACUGUCCUUCUGGUCACUCUAUCUGUGACGUCCUGUUACAAUGCAAUCCAAUGUAAGCGUGAACAAUAACAUUUCUUCUCCACCUGGGUACGUUGAAGCUUUCUGGGCCUAAUAUCAAGUUCUCUAAUCUGCUCUUACUUCAUGUAUAAUAUAAGAACCAUGUCCGCCUGCAAUCCUAUUUUCUUUUACUCUCUGUAUAAGCAUCACCUGCUAGAGUCACAUCAAUACCAUUACCAUAGCUUACCUAUCCCACCAGCUCAGAGUCAUUCCUGUCAGCUCUUUCCAUAGAUGCUGCCUGAUCUGCUUAGAUUUUACAGAAUUUUCCAUUUACUUGUUUAUGUUAAGUUGGCUGAGUUUUCCCCAUCCUGCUCAUUAAGUCUAGCGUGCCUAGCAGGUCACACAACCUUGCCGUUAACAACUUAUGCUGUAGAUGAAGAAGUCCUUGUCCUACUGCCAUUUAUAUUUGUCCUAUCACAGACCUACCUAUCUACUCACCUAUUGAAAAAAGGCAUUUGUCUCUUUUCUGAAGGACCACAGGAACAACUUCCAGGCGGGGCAAUGGGUGAGCUUCAGCUGGUCCUUUCAGUUUAUGGCUAUUAUAAGUUUGAAUUCAAAAUCUUUUGAAAAAAUACAGUGAUGUUGAAAUAUCUGCGGUAUGCUGUUCAUCUCUGAACAGAUAUAAAAUAAUAAACAUAAAUUUUACUGCUAUUACUAUUGCAUGGUCAAUUCAAGUGAAUAGGAAUACAGGAUUGGAGCCUAUGCAAUUUGCAGUGUAAAAUUCAAUAGCAAAAUGAUCUUUUCAAUUCUGCAGAUUUCAAAUAUCAGUUUUAGGGACACUUGCUUCUACAUGUAUAAAAUGCUGUUUACUGUGAGAAAUAAAGA